CGAACGGGUGAGUAAUGCGUGACCAACCUGCCCCCAUGCUCCAGAAUAGCUCUUGGAAACGGGUGGUAAUGCUGGAUGCUCCAACUUGACGCAUGUCUUGUUGGGAAAGUGUUUAGUGGCAUGGGAUGGGGUCGCGUCCUAUCAGCUUGUAGGCGGGGUAAUGGCCCACCUAGGCUUCGACGGGUAGCCGGCCUGAGAGGGCGGACGGCCACAUUGGGACUGAGAUACGGCCCAGACUCCUACGGGAGGCAGCAGGG
rnacentral:rRNA from 1 species